UACGGGGGGGGCAAGCGUUGUCCGGAUUUAUUGGGCGUAAAGAGCGUGUAGGCGGCUGGGUAGGUCCGCUGUGAAAACUUGAGGCUCAACCUCAAGAGGUCGGUGGAAACCAUCCAGCUAGAGUCCGGAAGAGGAGAAUGGAAUUCCUGGUGUAGCGGUGAAAUGCGCAGAUAUCAGGAAGAACACCCGUGGCGAAGGCGGUUCUCUGGGACGGUACUGACGCUGAGACGCGAAAGCGUGGGGAGCGAACAGG
rnacentral:rRNA from 1 species